AGAACGAACGCUGGCGGCGUGGAUAAGACAUGCAAGUCGAACGCGACUUAUCUGGUUAGCAAUAACUAGGUAAGUUGAGUGGCGAAAGGGUGCGUAACACGUGGGAAUCUACCAAGAAGUGGGGGAAUAGCUCGGCGAAAGCCGAAUUAAUACCGCAUGUGAUCGAAAGAUCAAAGUCGGGGACCGCAAGGCCUGACGCUUUUUGAGGAGCCCGCGGCCCAUCAGCUAGUUGGCGGGGUAAAAGCCCACCAAGGCUAUGACGGGUAGCUGGUCUGAGAGGACGACCAGCCACACUGGAACUGAGACACGGUCCAGACACCUACGGGUGGCAGCAGUCGAGAAUUUUUCACAAUGGACGAAAGUCUGAUGGAGCGACGCCGCGUGGAGGAUGAAGGUUCUUGGAUUGUAACUCCUGUCACUGCAGAACAAGGAUACGCAUGUUAAUAGCAAGCGUAUUUGAUGGUAUGCGGAGAGGAAGGGACGGCUAAUUCUGUGACCG
rnacentral:rRNA from 1 species